GGUCAUAAUAUUGCAUCACAGUUACAUAAUUAUGAUCACAACAAUGGUCUUUUGUCAUUAAGGUUUAUGACAUUCCAUAAUUAACGAGACAAUUACAUUUCACUGACAUAAUACAUUGAGCUUGUCUUGCAGAAUAAAGGGACAUAGACCUCCUCUUCACCAUUUAUCCUUAUCUAGGGCUCAGAAAUAGCUUUUUAAAGGAUCACCACCAGCCAGGUAGGCACCUUCCUGGGGCAGAACCACCUGGAAAUCAAAUGCUUACAGACAAAUUUGGAAAUGGCAUUUUUCCACCAAGACUGUACAAUCUUCACAGACAAAAGAGACAACAGGGCCCCAGACAGAGAUGAAGGUUGAAAGGGUCCCAAGACUGAAAAGGCUAUGGACAGGGUGAGAAGGAAACAACAAGCAGCAGGGAAGCAGUGCUGGAAACCCCUUGAAAUGGAGUGCUGUAGGAUGUGGAGGUGCCCCGGCGGUGCAGCUGUGGGCGAGGUGGACGCGUGCCCAACAGGAAGCGUCCUGAGACAAUGGAAUUCGCUGCACACGUAUGUUCUUUGCUGAUGGCUGUGCUGGAAACAGUGACCCGAGUCUGGCAGUUUUGAUGUCCCCUUGCUCCAGCCUCCACACCCCUCCCCUCGCUUGUGAGUGAUUCAUGCAGAAAGCUGCAAAUCACUCCCCAGGGACAAAAUGAAUAAAGGCCCCCCUCACCUUUCCUCUAUAUUCAUGCAUUAGUGCCUGAGAUCCUCCAUACUCUUGCUGCAGUUUGAGAUGGAAAGACAAUUGCUUUCCCAGUGUCCCAAGUAAUUCUUUCACCUGCUUGUGCCUGCCUGUGCCUCUGCCAGGAAAGGGGGAAUGCACAGGCUCCUUUGAAGAGGGUUUUAAUGGCAUUUGUCCACUGCCUACCAAAAAACCUGGAGCUUCUCCCCUCCCCCUUCUCCUUCUCAACUUUGCUC